UACGUAGGGUGCAAGCGUUGUCCGGAUUUAUUGGGCAUAAAGAGCUCGUAGGCGGUUUGUCGCGUCGACUGUGAAAGCCCGGGGCUCAACUCCGGGUCUGCAGUCGAUACGGGCAGACUAGAGUUCGGUAGGGGAGACUGGAAUUCCUGGUGUAGCGGUGAAAUGCGCAGAUAUCAGGAGGAACACCGGUGGCGAAGGCGGGUCUCUGGGCCGAUACUGACGCUGAGGAGCGAAAGCGUGGGGAGCAAACAGG
rnacentral:rRNA from 1 species